AUUGAACGCUGGCGGCAGGCCUAACACAUGCAAGUCGAGCGGAUGAAGGGAGCUUGCUCCUGGAUUCAGCGGCGGACGGGUGAGUAAUGCCUAGGAAUCUGCCUGGUAGUGGGGGAUAACGUCCGGAAACGGGCGCUAAUACCGCAUACGUCCUGAGGGAGAAAGUGGGGGAUCUUCGGACCUCACGCUAUCAGAUGAGCCUAGGACGGAUUAGCUAGUUGGUGGGGUAAAGGCCUACCAAGGCGACGAUCCGUAACUGGUCUGAGAGGAUGAUCAGUCACACUGGAACUGAGACACGGUCCAGACUCCUACGGGAGGCAGCAGUGGGGAAUAUUGGACAAUGGGCGAAAGCCUGAUCCAGCCAGGCCGCGUGUGUGAAGAAGGUCUUCGGAUUGUAAAGCACGUUAAGUUGGGAGGAAGGGCAGUAAGUUAAUACCUUGCUGUUUUGACGUUACCAACAGAAUAAGCACCGGCUAACUUCGUG
rnacentral:rRNA from 1 species